UUCUCUCCUGUGUCUCUUCUUUCCCCUUCCCUAUUGAGGGUAAGGCCUGGUCUUUGUCCUGAUGAGGAGGCGUCUUGCGACGUCCCCGGCGCACCAGACGGGCCUCUAUCUGUGAAGUGUAAUUGGGAUCCGCCCUCUUUUCUCAGGGCUGAAUGAAGCCGUCUCCACGGGAACGCUCUGAGUCUGUGCAUAAAUGGAUGAGCAGUGAAAGUCACACAGGAAAAGACCGUGAGCUCAGAAAAUAAAUCAAGAAAGAAUUUUUUCCUCCCUCGUUGAAGUCGCCGCACUGGUUGUUUUUUGGAGAUUGCCCCUUUUUUCCCCCCGGUGGCUGAUUUGUGUAACUGCACCUAGGGACACCACAGCAUCCAGCUCAAGUUCACCAGGCGGGCAUUGGAAGCACAGCUGCUUUCAGAUGCAGCGUCAUCACGCAUAUCUCUCAGGACAGUCCUCCUGUCUUUGAUAGCUGUGACCCAUUAUUAACAGGGGGAAGCAACAGGCGUCGGCUCUGGGCUACUGAGACUGAAUCAGUACUGCACAUCUCUCGCUCUCUCUGUCUCUCUCUAUCUCUGUUUCUUUCUCUCUCUCUGAUGAUUGAAUUGAAAAUUGAAAAUGUUUAUUUGAAAAUUGACAUGUUAAUGUCGUCUUCAAGUUCUAUUGUGGGAGAUUAGCUAAUGUUGAACAUUAACAUUUAAUAAGAUUUCCUUCAGGCAGUUUGAUUUGUGCUUUGCAACGGAAUAUGUUCAACGCAGCAGCCAAAUAAAGUUGAGGUACAUCUGCGGAUUUAUAAAGCGGGGACUUCCUGAACACCUCGUGUACAGUCGGUCUAAGCCAUGGGCUUAAAAAAAAGUUAAAUCAGUGACAGGUGAAGCUCCACUUAUUGCACAGGUGUGUGUAAUUCCUCCACCUGUCCACAGGUGUGGGUGUGUGAUUGUUUUUCCUCUCUCUGGUGAGGCCAGGUAUGUGUAGACAGACUCCCGCAGCCCUCCCCCCCCCCCCCCUCCGUGGGGAACACCCCCUCAGCAGUGCUGCUGCUGCCUGCUCUUGUCUCCCUUCAGAGUGCAGUUUUAAUGGGUCACCCAGACAUUAACUCCCAUCUGCCUGGGGAAUGAGCUAACAGCUUAGCUCAGAGAGGGGGACUAGGGGAGACAGGGAGACAGAAAGCGAGAGGGUAGGGGGAGAGAAAGGCAGAGAGAGAGAAAGAAAGGGUAGAGGGAGAGAAAGGCAGAGAGGGAAAGAGGGUAGAGAGACAGAAAGAGAGUGGGUAGAGAGAGAGAGAGGGAGGGAAGCAUUAGGGUAGAAAGAAGGCGAUGGAGUGGAAGAGAGAGAAGGAGAGAGGAAAUGAUAGGGUAGAGAGAGGGAGAGGUAGAGAAAUCCCAUCAUGGCCUCUCAAAUCUCGCUGGGCUGAAGACCAUUAAAAUAAUCUAUAGUUCUGCUCUCCAGAGAAUGGACAACAGGGAACACCACCCCCCUACAUGCACACUCUUUCUCUCUCUCCCUCUCUCUCUCUCUCACGCACACACACACUCGCACGCACACACACACACACACACACACUCACUCACACACACUCUGCCUCACACAGACACACACACACACACACACACUUCGUCCUGGAGGCUUGUUGGAUGACUCUGGCCGGCUGCAGAUGAAUGAGGCGUCUGCAGUAGCGCUGAGAGGAGUCGGCCGUGCUCCGCGCUCGGCGGCAGAUGCUGAUUCGCUGCCCCCCCCCCCCCAUCUCCACCCCAGCUGGAGCUCAUCGCGGUGACUCAUUACUGCUGGGCCGGGGGGCGCUACCAGCUCCUCAUUGACCUAAAACACACUCGUUUUGGAAAGCGUCUGAAAGGCUCGUUCGUCAGGCCACAAUUGGCGACGAUGCUUUGGGGGCCGGCGCAGCGUGGCCCAGUCUGGGGCGGGGGCCCCGUCGCUGACUCUGCCGUUUCUGUAUCUGUUACCCCCCCCCCCCCCCCAGCAUGAGCCCGGGGACCUCCACAUGUCCCUGAAGGGCCGCUGGGUAAUCCAUGUCUAUACAUGAGAAAAAUUAGCAUAUUGAAAUAUGUAAUCGCUUUUUUCCCCUCUCUCUCCCUCUCCCCUCCCCUCCGUGGGGCCUGUCCUCUGAAUGACAUAACCGGGCGAAAUGAGCUCACGGAACCCGGGUCCCGGUGCCAAAAUGAAGCCGUCCAAAACACGCCGCCGCGAUAAACGCGCCCUUCACAACGCCGCGGGGGCUUGUGGGUAACGGACGGCUCCGCUAGCGCGCAGGAGCCGCCGUUAUCUCCGACGUCCGUUAAUUCAGCCGACCCUAACGAGGGCCCGGCACGCUGCCAGCGCUUCCGGCUUCCGAAAGAUCGCGCAAUAUUUCCCCCUAAUGCGCAUCGAUCUGGGCCUGACGGGGACGUGCCGACUCAGUCUGGACCCAGGGCUCGGCCCGAACCCCAGUGGUGCCCCCCUCCGUCACACGUCCCGGUCGGUACCCACAAUGCCUCUGUUUUAAAUCUCUUAUUCUGCUCACGGCUCGUCGUCUGUUCCAGCCCAAGCUCCAGACAUGCUUCUGCGGUAGGACGGUGGAAUCCAUAGACUUAAAUUUAUCAGUCCAGUGCACAAGUGCAUUUUCUGAUUUUUUGUCCUUGAAGACUGUCAGGAGAGAUGUCAAUGAACCACACACGCUCUCGCACACGCGCACAUAUGAACGUGCAUGCGCGCACACACACACACACACACACAGACACACACACACACACACACACACACACACACACACACACACACACGCUCUCACACAAGCGCACACAUGAACGUGCAUGCGCACACACAUACACGCGCACACACACACACACAAACUCUCUCUUGCCCCCUCUCUCUCGUUCUUUUUCUCUCUCUUUUCUUUGUUUUGUACCAUUUUGCCAUCCAGUCCUGUCUCAGGGCUUCUGUCUGACACAGUGCAUUUAUCUGGUCAGUCACAUUGUAAUUGCAGAACUGACAUAAAAAGGGCAGCAUUGAAGAAUUCUGUUUGCAGACUUUCCGUGUGCUGUACAGAUUCACACUCGUCUCUGUUCCCGCUGAGCCGCUGUGUCAUACAAAAGGAACAUUUCUCAGCGCUUAAUUGGAUGAUAAAAACACACACGUACUUGCACACACACACACACACACACAUGCGUACACGCAUGCCUGCACUCACAGGCAACCACGCACGCACUCACGCACACACACGCAUACACGCACACAUGCAUAUGCAUGCAUGCACGCACACACAUACACAUAGACAAAGAUAAACAUAAAAACAAACA